CGUGUAGGCGGCCAUGCAGGUCCGCUGUGAAAACUCGAGGCUCAACCUCGAGACGUCGGUGGAAACCGCAUGGCUAGAGUCCGGAAGAGGAGAGUGGAAUUCCCGGUGUAGCGGUGAAAUGCGCAGAUAUCGGGAAGAACACCCGUGGCGAAGGCGGCUCUCUGGGACGGUACUGACGCUGAGACGCGAAAGCGUGGGGAGCGAACAGGAUUAGAUACCCUGGUAGUCCACGCCGUAAACGAUGGGUGCUAGGUGUGGGAGGUGUCGACUCCCUCCGUGCCGCAGCUAACGCAUUAAGCACCCCGCCUGGGGAGUACGGCCGCAAGGCUAAA
rnacentral:rRNA from 1 species